AAACGCUAAUAAUGUAAAUGAAUAAAUAUAUUCUGAAUUUAACUGCCAUUUACUGUUUUGAGUGAAAUUUAAAAUUCAAUACAAAAGCCCUUUUGCGUGCAAUUUAUCUAAUCGCGUUUAUAGGAUGUCAUAGGCCUAUUUGUAGGCCCCACCAUAACAGCAUCAGGAUUCGCAGAUGAUAUCAGAGACGCGCUCUGAUAGUCAAAAACAAAAUUUCUACAAAAUUAACUGAUAUUACAGAUAUGUGAGAUUUCAUGUAUAGGCUAUGUAGGCCUAUAUAAUACAAUUGAAAUAUGUAUAAUCUUUGUUACGAAACAGAGAGUACAUCGCGUCUGACACACAAAUAUUCUCUCUGCGCAAAUAAACGGGGAAAUAAGGGAUAACUAAGUGUAAUUAUAUAAUAAUAUGAGUUUGUCCGGACUUCUAGACCCAUCGGUGAGCUGAUACUACGUACUGCGCAACAUUUCCCAGUUUACUCGAGUCCUUUCACCCAUGUCUGUAGGUGGCAGUAAGACGACGAAAGAAAAGUACUUCCUGUGUGUGUGUGUGUUUAGUUUUUCGUGCGUGAUUAGUUUGCUACCUGGGUAAUUGAUGAAAUGUUUAUUUCUGACGUAUCUUCUUAAUCCGGGCCCGUUAUGAUUGAAUUAAUCGAAAGGAAAUAUGAUUCAGAUAUUUAAUUAUAAGAGGUAUUUUACAAUGGCCCUUUUAAAGUGAAUUUACAUAGUUAUGAACGCAAAAAAAUAUCGUUUCUUCGCAUUAAAUCCCGUGGUGUGCUUUCAUGUCACCUUGCAUAGUAUUAAACUUUAUACAGUAUAUAAUUUAAUUUUAGAAUGACUCGUACAAGAUGCAUGUCAGUCUUAACAGCUUUAAUGCAGUGUUCCUUUCCAUUAAAAGCAGGAAUUGUGACUCAUUACUCGAGAGGGAUCCAACUUUAUUUUUCUGAGAAUUAUAUGCUUAACUUUGUUUUUUUUUUUUCUUUUUUUUUUAGUAAUCGUGUUAUGAAUAUCACUUGCGUGAAAGUCCCAUGAUAAGGUAUCAACUUUUAAAAUUCAGGUUUCUUGGUUUGUUACUUUUUUCUGUAAUAUGCUAUCUUGAUGAGACCACUCAACCGCUUUCGCCGCUUUCCAAAAUUCCCUGCUGAUUAGCCGCGCCGACCUCUAAAAUUGCCCGGCUCAGCCAACUGCUGGUGAGAAUUCCCAUCUUAAGAUAUACAAGGUUUAUGUGUUGCCAUAUGCCUUUAAUAAUAUAGGUGAGUUGCGCACAUGUAAUGCGCAUUCCUUACAGUAGCCUAUAAUAACAUGCUACAGGGGUCUCUCCAUAGGUGUACACUGUUAACUAUGGACCUCGGAAAUAAAUGCGAUCGGACGUUACAGGAUUGGACCUAUCGAUGAGAAUGAUGAAGAACAGAUGAUCUACAUUGUGGCUUUCAAUAACUGAACGUUAUUGAACUAAAAAAAAAACACAAGAAACAAAAGGACCACAAGGGAUCAAAAACAAGAAACCAAGAAAAAGACUAAAACUAAGGCAGGGAGAGACACAGGAAAAAACGUAGUAGACAAGCACACAAUCAGCAAACACAAUGACCAACCAAGGAACAAGGGCAAGAGCAGGCACAUAUAUACACAGAUAACAAGGGACAGGUCUGGGGAAAACAGUACGCAGGUGAUGGUCAUAAUCAUGAAGGACUCAAACAAUUGAAAAGGGGUAACCAGCGACACCUGCUGGCCAGUCAGGCAGUCCUAGAUGAUAGUUCAUUGAUUUCUCUUUUUUGUUAUGUAUGCCUUUCUCACAUUGAACAGUGAAGCUGAACAAUGCAGCACAGGAGACAGACAACCCUGUUUGGGACAAACAAGUGUGCUGCUAUGGAUUUCAUGCAAAGCCUUCUACCUCCGUGCAGUGCAGGAACUGCAGGGCUCUCUACACAAGUGAGUUCAGUGUCCCCUGGGCAAGCAAGUUCAGGUCCCUCUAUAGCAGCUAAUUAAGUGUCACCUGUCCCAGCAAGUGCACAGUCUUCUGUGCCAGCAUCAGCUUCUGAUCCUCGAAAAGAGUUCAUCCAGUCCAUGGAUUGAUUCUACUGACGUCCCAAUGCCCCUCUGCCAUAUUCUGGCCCCCACAACUGUACCAGUCAUCUUCAAGCUCCGCAGGACAGGCAGUGGAUAAAAGGAGGACUGUAUCUCCGCGCACAGACACGCCACAUUUAGCACACUGAAGGUUAUCAAUGCCAAGGCAAAUUAUACAUCAGCCUGCAGUUUCUGCCCUCAAUCAGUUUCUCUCACAACUCCUAACCCUGCCCAAGGCUCCCUGCUUCUAUAACUAUUGCUCCUGUAGGCCAUCCUCCCCCUACUCUACCUGCCGAGAGGCUCUAGAAACAGUUGGGAGCAAUCGGUGUAGCAAUGAACCUUGGCACAAAGCCAGUGGCCUCGGCUAAUAUUAUGGAUACAUAUACUGUCCUCACAAUCCAUCUUGCUGCUUAAGCAGACCAUAGUUCCCCGCAAUGUAAUAAAAACCUGUACCAUUUUACUUUGAGGGGACACUUUUCUGGUCUCUACAAUGAUAACUUAAAUCUUACAAAAAUCUGUGAUUGCAAUCAAAAAACUAGAAUUGCUAAAAAUAAAUGUGUACUCCAAUUUGUCCGUGAGCGGUUAUUGUGAUGGACUGCCAAUUCAUUGUGUUCUGCGCACAUGGGUUCAAAUCCCUUCCUCAUUAAGAAAUAAAGUCAUUAUAGGUAGUGUUCAGAUAGGGAUUUGGGCAGGUGUCCAAACAGUCAUGUAUUUGAAUGCUGUCAGGUGAGAGGAAGUCACUAGGUCACCCUGGCCUUUGACCUCAUAUUCUAUUGAUUGAUCUAUUAUCUUUCCCACAGUCUGCAAUACACACUUUUGCUACAAUGGCUAACUUGAGGCUGGUGGGUGGUGAGUCACCAUUUCAAACCUUGGCAGCAUAGUUGCAUUUUUGUUGGGCCCAGAAUGCUUUAGGGGAGCCUGCAGUCAGACCCCAAGCUUCCCUCUCAACUCUGUCUGUCUCAAAAA